rnacentral:rRNA from 1 species
CUAGGAAUCUUGGGAAUGGGCGAAAGCCUGACCCAGCAACGCCGCGUGGGCGAUGAAGGCCUUCGGGUUGUAAAGCCCUUUUGCGGGGGACGAUGAUGACGGUACCCCGCGAAUAAGCCACGGCUAACUACGUGCCAGCAGCCGCGGUAAUACGUAGGUGGCAAGCGUUGUCCGGAUUUACUGGGCGUAAAGGGCGUGCAGGCGGUCUGUUAAGUCUAGGGUGAAAGCUCCCGGCUCAACUGGGAGAGGUCCUUGGAUACUGGCGGACUUGAGGGAGGCAGAGGAGAAUAGAAUUCCCGGUGUAGUGGUGAUAUGCGUAGAUAUCGGGAGGAAUACCAGUGGCGAAGGCGGUUCUCUGGGCCUUACCUGACGCUGAGACGCGAAAGCGUGGGGAGCGAACCGG